UACGAAGGGGGGCUAGCGUUGUUCGGAUUUACUGGGCGUAAAGCGCACGUAGGCGGAUCGAUCAGUCAGGGGUGAAAAUCCCAGAGCUCAACUCUGGAACUGCCUUUGAUACUGUCGAUCUGGAGUAUGGAAGAGGUGAGUGGAAUUCCGAGUGUAGAGGUGAAAUUCGUAGAUAUUCGGAGGAACACCAGUGGCGAAAGGCGGCUCACUGGUCCAUUACUGACGCUGAGGUGCGAAAGCGUGGGGAGCAAACAGG
rnacentral:rRNA from 1 species